CUGACUACUUACCCAUUUGCA
rnacentral:siRNA from 1 species